rnacentral:lncRNA from 1 species
CUCGUAUUGCAUACAUACGGUGGUGACCUAACUACUCACAUGUGUGCACUGCAUGUAUCCCUAUAUAUAGAAUGAUGAAUAUCUAUGUUUGGUGUCAUAUACUCACAUCCACUAAUAAAAUGGUUAGCGUGCUAGUCUAUGUGGUCCCCUUCGGCAUGGUGUGUACUACUUGCCAAGAGGCUGAUCGAAGUACAUUCUUGAGUUGUCUUCCCUAUGAUCUACAGGAUUUAGGUGUUUUGCCGCGAGCAAAAAACCGGGAGCCAAAAACACUGGACAGAGGCUACUUUGAACUCGGCAAAGAGCCGCUAGCAAAAAACCGUCCGUAAAGAUUUCUUUGUCAGGAUCUUUUUGUCGGGCACCCGACAAAGACAUUGCUGAGAGCAAACAUCACUAGUACAAAACUCAUUUUUGUUGGCACUUUGUUUUUUUCAUAGGCGGUUCACAAUUUCAUGACGUUCAGUAGAAACAAUUCUGUGGUCCCGUCAAGAGAACCGCCUAUGUAAAUAUGUUUACACUGGCGGUUUACAAUAACAACCGCCUGUGUAAAUGGUAUUUACAUAGGUGGUUGUCUUAACAACACCGCCUGUGAAAAUAUACCUUUUUACACAGGCGGUUUGUAUAGGAAACCACCGUGUUAAUUGUAUUUACAUAGAGGGUCCUCAUUAUAAACCGUUUGUGUUAAUCUUGUUAUAAAUACCCUUUGUCCACCUCUAGACAAAAACAGUUACUCCCGUGAGCUGUACAGUGUGGCGGUCCAGACAAGAACAGUUUCCAAGGGGGAGGUUUUGAUCUUCAAUUCUUUGGUGAGAAACUUCCAAAAGGUUAGUUAGUGCCCUAGAUGCUAUUUUUUUGUGAUUUUUUGGUUCAAUUAUUGUAUUGGAGAUGCUCUAGAUCUACGGUUCAUUAUGCAUUGUUGCUUAGGGUUAGGGUUCAUAGGGCAAGACAGAGAGAGUUUUAGCUAUAAUUUUAUGUAAAUUCAUAGUAAAUUGUAUAAAAUCAAGAAAUAGAAAAUAAAUACUUUUUAGAAUCCUUGUGAGUAGAUCUAUGCAAUAGAGUAAUGAAGAGCACAUUUUGAAGUUUAUAUUUUUGAUUGAGUUUUAGUUUAUCUUUCUCAAAUGAAUAACACUUUAUAAAUUCAUAUAUUGAAUUGUUGAAAAAUCAUAAAAUGGCAAAUGAAUACUUUUUGAAAUCUUUGUGAGUAAAUUUUUGAAAUAUGGUUAUAUUAAGGCAUUUUUGAUUAAAAAGUAAAGAUUAUCAUAGAAAUACUUCAAUUAUUCCUAUAUGUUAUUCAAUUGUUUCUUACAGUUAUGAAAACGAGUUUAAACGAUUAUGUAAAUUCCAUAACUUGUAAACUCUGUAAGGGGGAGGUUUUCAUCUCUGUUUAAUCGAAGGAGGUUAGUAUCUUAGUUAUGAUUGUUUUGGGGGGUUAUAUUAGUUUUGUUUUUAGAUUGACCUACAUUGUUCUUAACUAAUUACAGCUAAAUAUGGAGAGGUCAUUAUGGAUGUACAACUUAUCAAGAUUAGACCCAUCAUAUGUAGUGAAGGUCCAAAAAUUUAUUGAUGCCAUGAAGAUACAUGCUCAGAGAACAACGGUGAAGCACAUAUGCUGUCCAUGCACACACUGCAAAAGUAUUGUGGUAUCUGACAAUGUAGAAGCAAUCAUUUCUCAUCUGGUUUGCAGAGGAUUUAUGGAGUACUACUUGAUUUGGACAAAACAUGGUAAGGGUAGUUUUGCACCUUAUAUGCGGACAACUGACAACACUGCAAUGAAUAUCAAUGUGGAGGGUCCAAUGCCACAUGUCAAUAAAUGUCAUGCUAUGCCAGAUAUCAAUGAAACCCAUCAUGCUAGCCAGAUCUCAAUCAAACUCAUAAUGCUACAUCUGAUGUCAAUGGAACUUAGCAUGCUAAGGCAGCAGAGGAGCCUUUGUAUGAUGAGUCGAAGGAUUGUACCAAACAGUGGUCGACAUUAUGGGCUAUUCUUCAGUUCUUGAUGAUAAAGACUAGAUAUGGUUGGUCCAAUGCUAGCAUCAAUGAUUUCUUGCGUGUACUUGGAGACCUUCUUCCUAAGGAGAACAAAGUGCCUGCUAACACGUACUAUGCAAAGAAGCUAGUCGGUCCACUUACGAUAGGUGUUGAGAAGAUCCACGCAUGUAGAAAUCAUUGUAUAUAUUCUAUAUCGGGGUGAUCAAUAUAAAGACUUAGAUAGCUAACCAAACUGUGGUGCCAGUAGGUACAAGACGAACAAAGAUUAUCGGGAAGAAGAGAAUCCAACCUCUGUUUCUAUAGGGAGGAAGCGAAAGAAGACCCAAACGAAGACUCAACAAGACAAACGUUCAAAGCCCACUAGCAAUGAAGAAGUGGACUAUUAUGUGUUGAGAAGAAUCCCUGCUUUGGUGAUAUGAUAUCUCCCCAUGGUUGAUCGUUUAAGGUGUUUGUUUGCAAACCCUAAAUAUGUGGAACUUAUGAUCUGGCAUGCUUCUAAUGAAAGUAAAGAUGAUGGAAAGUUACAACAUACAUGUGUCGCUCAGUGAUUUAUUCAUGCAGUGACCAAUAUAUUAUUUUUUAUAUUUAUCCCAUCGAAGGGAAGGUGCUUGUCCUAGACUCCUUACAUUUUCCUCCUUAGAAGUAUCAACCAUUCUUGGUUCAGUUAGAAUGGUGAGCCAACAUGCAACCACAUGCGUAUUUAUAUGAAUUAGAGUUUUAAAAUAACUUUAGUGAUUUAUAUUCGAUAUGUGCAGGGCAUGGCAGUUUUACAGGAAACAAAAAGGAUCGGUUGACGCCGCACGCUCAGAUCCUAGGGUGCCAUUGAUGAUACAACACCACUAUCCUGUAAGUUGUCUGAACACAUAUUAUCAUAUAAAUAAUACAUAAGGCAUGAUAAUUUUAGAAUAAUUUGUUGCUCAUUAUAUAGUGCCACAAGCAACCACCUGGAUCGGUCUAUUGUGGGUACUACGUCUGUGAGUUUAUAAGGCUGCGGGGACGAUACGUCAGGGACAAAAAUAUGGUAAAUAAUAUCUGUAUGAAGUUUUCUCAUUAAAGCUGCAAAUGUAUAUAUUGGACAUGUGUCAAUAAUGAUUUUAAACAUUCUUUCCAACCACAAAAGCUAGGAAAGGACGUGCCCUUUACACCAACAACUCUAGAAAAUAUAGUAGCAUACUUGUGCGGUUUUAUUGUAAGAGAAAUAAUUCCAAGUGACGGAGAAUAUUUUAAUCAUGAGGGCGAUUGAGCAAGUGAUAAAUGUAGAGUGCUGACAGAUAUAACAAGUCCAAAUCUGAAGCAAAAUGAUAUGUAAAUAUUGUAUAGUUGUGCGGAUAACAUUGACGUGUAUAUAUGUAAUUUUAUUGUUGAUGUUUGAUUUCAUAUUUACAUAUCUAUAAUAUAUAUAUAUAUGUGAUGUAUGUAUGAUGUAAUUUUAUGGUUCAUGUUUACAUAUGUAUUAUAUAUAUAUAUAUAUGGUAAAUUUUUCCUACUCCUACAUACGUCCGGCGAAUGCUCACGUUUAACCACGGUGGCGGGCUGCUUAGCGGUUUGAAAAAAGCUGACCCGGCCCGUUAAUCCUCUGUAUAUAUAUUAAAAAUCUGAUUGUCUUUUAGGGUAUGCGCAAGCAAUAGAAUACUCACCAUGGAAAAUCCGCUGGAAGUUUAAGCACUAAUUCUCCGUGCUCUUCUUUGACUUUGAAUGGCAAUCUGAGCCGAUCUAGUAUAUGUGUUCGUGUUUCUUUUUCAUCUAAAUAAUUUGAAUAUGCAUAUAUGACUCCAACAUUGUUAUUAUUGUUUUUUGUUUAUUUCAAGCUGGGUUCACAAUGAUGACUUUUUCCGUGGAACAUGUAUGAACUCGUACUGCAUGUGCUCCAAUCAUUAUGUACACAUAUUUUAUUUUAUUCUAAUAAAAAUAGUUGAAUAGUUUUGUAUAUAUAUCUCCCAUAAGUGAAUGUAUGCACAUAUACUUCGAUCGUGUAGUUUAAGUAUGCACUUAUACUAUCUAAAUCUUGAUGUAUGUAUGCAUACUCUAUUAAAAAAAAGUAUUACAAAUAGUCUAUUCUAAAAAGUAUGUACGGAUACUAUAAACUAAAAUGUAUGUACAUAUACUCUAUUGAAAAGGUAUGUACAUAUACUCUAUUAAAAAGGUAUGUACAUAUACUCUAUUACAAAAAGUAUAUAUAAAUACUUUAUUCUAAAAGUAUGCACGAUACUCCAUUCUAAAAUAUAUAUAAUAAAACUUGAAAACUAGAUAUGACAACAACCGGCCGUAAACUCCUCACAAAUUUUAAAAAAAAAACAACCAACGCCGUUCUUUAAUGGGUCUGGCACAAAAAAACAAACAUUAUGUAUGCAUUUUCAUGCAGCCCAUAUACCAUGUAUGUACGUAUACUUUGGUAAUUUAUUCUUAAUAAUAUGUACGUACAAAAAAUAGUAUGUAACUAUACUGACACAUACCAAAAAAUUCAUAUAAGUCUACACCGAUCUAUUUAGCAUCCUAAUUUUCCGGGAGUGCGCCAUGGUAUCCAUGACUUGUUGCCGUCAAAUGCAUGUACGCCUGCAUGCAACCGAGAAUUCCAUGGCCUGGUGCCUGGGUGCGUACCAAUGGUUAGCCCGGUGAUGCGCCUGAGAUGACGCUAUUGGAUUGCUAAUGUACCCGUUUACGCAUAGGAGUAAUUACUCUUGGGAGUAUAAAAAAUGCGCGCGCGCACAUAUAUAUAUAUAUAUAUAUAUAUAUAUAUAUAUAUAUAUAUAUAUAUAUAUAUAUAUAUAUAUAUAUGUGUAUGUAUAUAGAAUAUGNNNNNNNNNNNNNNNNNNNNNNNNNNNNNNNNNNNNNNNNNNNNNNNNNNNNNNNNNNNNNNNNNNNNNNNNNNNNNNNNNNNNNNNNNNNNNNNNNNNNCCAAGCCCACCACCUGUACCAGCCGUCAAUACAAAUCGACCACCCUAUAGGCGCUAGAGACCUCUCCCAGCGCAACUGCCUGACCUAUUCCUAGUUGGCGGCAACAGCGACGGUGAUGCUCAACGGCUGGAAGCAUUUAUACAGAAAAUAUUUUUACAAACGGUGCUAGAAGCAUCUUCACAAACGGCCAAGUCCACCGCCUAUAUCUGUGGUCGAUUUGUAUUGACCCCUGGUACAGGUGGUGGGCUUGGCCGUUUGUGAAGAUGCUUCUAGCACCGUUUGUAAAAAUAUUUUCUGUAUAAAUGCUUCCAGCCGUUGAGCAUCACCGUCGCUGUUGCCGCCAACUAGGAAUAGGUCAGGCAGUUGCGCUGCCAGAGGUGCCUCGCGACGCUAGGGUUUCGUUGAGGCCACACAGAUUGAUGGGAGGAGGCGGCAACGGAGGGAGGCUCACAGAGGCCACCGCCGGCAUCAAGUUGCGCUAUUCUAUGGCCGGUGCUAGGUAUGGGGCGAGGAGGAGGACGGCAGCGCGGUGAGGGGCGAGCUCGGGAGAGGAGAGACCGUCGGGUUGGAAGCGAGAAGGCCGAACUUUUUUAAAGAAUCAGGAAGAAGAAUAGGAGAGAAGCCGAUAAAAACAAAAAGAAGCAGUAGAAGCCGCUUCCACUCGAAUCUGCUCCAAACAAUCCUGACCACACAAUGGACGAUCCGAUGGCUGAAAAUAUUUGGAAUAACGUGGACCCUGCUUCUACUCAAGGAAUCCACCGGAUUCUGUUGGGUAGAAUGGCGACGAUCAUUCUAUAUCCUAGGCCUUGUUUAGUUUCAAAAAAUUUUGUAAAUAGGAAUAGUACCACUUUCGUUUGUAUUUAACAAAUAUUAUCUAAUUAUGGACUAACUAGACUCAAAAGAUUCGUCUCGUCAAUUUCGACCAAACUGUGCAAUUAGUUUUUAUUUUUGUCUAUAUUUAAUACUUCAUACGUGCGUCUAAAGAUUUGAUGUGACGAUGAAUCUGAAAAAUUUUGUAAAAUUUUUUAGGAACUAAACAAGGCCUAGUACGUUGGUUGUUACUCACUAUAUAUAUUCUGUGCAACUUCGCUGGCUAGCUGCGUCAAUUACGAACAGUGUACUUAUUUCGGUACCGUUGGUUGUUAUGGAUGUGCAUAUUAAAUGUACAAAUUUACUCCAUUGGUUGGAAGGACUGGUAUGCCCUGUCCCUGUGUAUUUAUAAAUACCACCCCGGCCAACUCCUCCAUUGUGUCAACCAACCAUAUCAAUAUAUCAUCCCCUGCAUGCAUUAUCAGUCUUUAGGAAGAGGGACGACCAUGGGUGCCAAGCUCCUCCUCGUUGUCUUUCUCGUCAUCACCACUGCCGGCCAUCCCAUCUGGGCGCAGGAGGGAAUCACGCAAGAAACAGCUGAUCUUGUGCAGCAGACAAUCGAGGCUGGAUUGCAGACCUUGUCUGGGACGGUAAAAGCAGGACUGGCAGCUACAGCCACGACGGUGAGGGCGCUUCUGCUCGACGGGGUGAUCGGGUAGCCUAUAGCGGCAGCACCGGUGGCGAUGAUGGGACCUACUGCGAUAGCCGAUGGGACAAAUCCUUAGUUAAGUACUUGCAUAAUCAGUUAUUAAUAAAUAACUGCUUAUAAUAAGCUUGUUAUGGAGUACUCUGAACUUAUCCUCGCAUUGCAUAUAUACGGUGGUGACCUAACCACUCACAUGUGUGCACUGCAUGUAUCCCUAUAGAAUGAUGAAUAUCUAUAUGUAAUUAUGUAUGGUGUCAUAUCCACUAAUAAAAUGGUAAGCGCGCGCUAGUCUAGUGGUGGUUGCCUUCGGCAUGGUGUGUACUACUUGCCAAGAGGCAGAUCGAAGUAUAUUGUUGAGUUUGUCUUCCCCAUGAUGUCUCAUUUGUAUAGCCACCAAACCAAGUUUCAAAGGCUGUGGUUUGACAGAACAUCGACACCAUUGUGACGCUAAAACUUAAAUUCUCUAGCGACAACAGUGAAAAAGAUUGUUC